AUUCCAGCUCCAAUAGCGUAUAUUAAAGUUGUUGCAGUUAAAAAGCUCGUAGUUGAAUUUCUGUACAGUCCCGGUUCUGGCUUCGGUCAAGCCGUGGAUUGUGCAUCCGCUUGCAAAUCUAGCUCGGCCUUCACUGGUCGACUAGGGGAGUAAGCCCUUUACUUUGAAAAAAUUAGAGUGUUUCAGGCAGGCAAUGGCUCGAAUACAUUAGCAUGGAAUAAUGGAAUAGGACUUUUGUCCAUUUGGUUGGUUAUUGAACAUGAGUAAUGAUUAAAAGGGACAGUUGGGGGCAUUAGUAAUUAAUAGUCAGAGGUGAAAUUCUUGGAUUUAUUAGAGACUAACUUAUGCGAAAGCAUUUGCCAAGGAUGUUUUCAUUG
rnacentral:rRNA from 1 species